UACAGAGAGUGCGAGCGUUAAUCGGAAUUACUGGGCGUAAAGCGCACGUAGGUGGAUAUUUAAGUUGGAUGUGAAAUCCCUGGGCUUAACCUAGGAAUUGCAUUCAAUACUGGAUGUCUAGAGUAUAGAAGAGGGAAGUGGAAUUUCUGGUGUAGCGGUGAAAUGCGUAGAUAUCAGAAGGAACACCAGUGGCGAAAGCGGCUUCCUGGUCUAAUACUGACGCUUAGGUGCGAAAGCGUGGGGAGCAAACAGG
rnacentral:rRNA from 1 species